rnacentral:snoRNA from 1 species
GAAUCAAUUUAUUAUACCAUACGUUCUUGCUGGCGUCAUCUUAUUCUUCAAUGGAUGAGGUUCGAUGCCCUGGCGAGUUUGAUUCUCUCAAAUAUUUGACGUAUGGCAGAACAAUUUUAUGCAAGAAGUAUCUCCAGCUGCUGAUAAUGGACCGGAGGCCUUUCUCCUCUGGACCGCCUAUUAAAAAAAAUCUGAUGCAGCUGGUCAUUCAUUCUUGCUACAGAA